AAGGCACACCGGGAGGCUGCUGGGAAACCAGAGGAAAGUCCGGGCUGCAGCAAGGCAGGGGUCAGUCUAACGGACUGCCGCCGAAAGGCGAGGGAAAGUGCCACAGAAAACAGACCGCCGAUGGAGCCUUCGGGCUCACAGGCAAGGGUGAAACGGUGAGGUAAGAGCUCACCAGAGGGUAUGGCGACAUACCCUGCUUGGUAAACCCACCCCGCAGCAAGGAGGGAUGGUAAAGCCUUGCGUCACUACCCUCCGCAUGAGCGGCACCGCAAGGUGCGCGCCGAGAUAAAUAGCCUCCGAAACAGAACCCGGCUUACUGGUGUGCCUAUUAC
rnacentral:RNase_P_RNA from 1 species